GCGGAAAUAGCUCAGUUGGUAGAGCACGACCUUGCCAAGGUCGGGGUCGCGAGUUCGAGUCUCGUUUUCCGCUCUA
rnacentral:tRNA from 1 species